UCCAAUGCUACGUGCAAUAACACAGAUGGAUCUUACAUAUGCAUAUGUGAUUCUGGAUAUAUAGGAGAUGGAUUUGACUGCAUUGAUGACGACGAAUGCCAAAGAGAUUCCCUUUGUGAUUCAAAUGCAUCUUGCAACAACACAGAAGGAUCAUACAUUUGCACAUGUAAUUUCGGAUAUAGUGGAGAUGGAUUUAAUUGCACAGAUGUAAACGAAUGUCUAACCGAAUACACAUGUCAUUCCAAUGCUACGUGCAAUAACACAGAUGGAUCUUAUAUCUGCACAUGUGAU